rnacentral:rRNA from 1 species
AUACGUAGGGUGCAAGCGUUAAUCGGAAUUACUGGGCGUAAAGCGUGCGCAGGCGGUUUUGUAAGACAGAGGUGAAAUCCCCGGGCUCAACCUGGGAACUGCCUUUGUGACUGCAAGGCUAGAGUACGGCAGAGGGGGAUGGAAUUCCGCGUGUAGCAGUGAAAUGCGUAGAUAUGCGGAGGAACACCGAUGGCGAAGGCAAUCCCCUGGGCCUGUACUGACGCUCAUGCACGAAAGCGUGGGGAGCAAACAGGAUUAGAUUCCCUGGUAGUCCACGCCCUAAACGAUGUCAACUGGUUGUUGGGUCUUCAUUGACUCAGGAACGAAGCUAACGCGUGAAGUUGACCGGCUGGGGAGUACGGCCGCAAGGUUGAAACUCAAAGGAAUUGACGGGG